rnacentral:rRNA from 1 species
UAAAGAUCCGUCGGAUGAGGAUAGACUCGCGUGACAUUAGCUAGACGGCGGGGUAACGGCCCACCGUGGCGACGAUGUCUAGGGGUUCUGAGAGGAAGGUCCCCCACACUGGAACUGAGACACGGUCCAGACUCCUACGGGAGGCAGCAGUGAGGAAUAUUGGUCAAUGGCCGGAAGGCUGAACCAGCCAUGCCGCGUGAAGGUCAGUGCCCUAUGGGCGUUAAACUUCUUUUGUGCGGGAGCAAUAAGGGCCACGCGUGGCCUGACGAGAGUACCGUACGAAUAAGCAUCGGCUAACUCCGUGCCAGCAGCCGCGGUAAUACGGGGGAUGCAAGCGUUAUCCGGAUUUAUUGGGUUUAAAGGGUGCGUAGGCUGUGAGGUAAGUCAGCGGUGAAAUGCCCCCGCUCAACGGGGGAAGUGCCAUUGAUACUGCCUUGCUGGAAUGCGGAUGCCGUGGGAGGAAUGUGUGGUGUAGCGGUGAAAUGCAUAGAUAUCACACAGAACACCGAUUGCGAAGGCAUCUCACGAAUCCGCGAUUGACGCUGAUGCACGAAAGCGUGGGUAUCAAACAGGAUUAGAUACCCUGGUAGUCCACGCUGUAAACGAUGAUGACUAACCGUCGGCGAUACACAGUCG